AGGCUGUCGCCAGGCGUAGGUUGUGCGAGGGCUCCGUGUCUACCAGGGGGCUGGGCGACGCGCGGGUGUGGUUCGGGGUGCACUCACACCGGAUCUACAAGUCCCUGUAUGGCGCGCGGGACCAAGAGAGUCGAACAUAAGUUGUGUGUGUGUGUGUGUGUGUGUGUGUGUGUUUUUAUGUGUGUGUGUGUUGAUUUUAUAUGUGUGUGUGUGUGUGUGUGUGUGUGCUGAUUUUGUGUGUUUUUUCUUUGCUCUGCUACAGCUAUGUGGCUUGGGUCAGGACGCAGAAGGUGGGAGCUACUGCGUCAAGGAUGGGGACCCUGAAGCAGUAUGUGCUGGCCCGGGACGCUGAGCCCACAGCAGCACCGGAGCCAGGACAUGUCCUCCCACGGCCAGGUAACUGCACCGUCUACAAAACAGCCUGGGAGGUGCUUUAAACAACACAACAGUGCUUCAUCAGUUCAUGUUGUCGUCUCGUUGUCGUUCUUUGCAGGCGUCUCCUACUCUGAUCCGACCGACGCCGAACUGCUCGCCGCUGCCGACGAGGUCGACCCUCCCAGCAUGUCCAGGGACGCCCCGCCAGCCGCGGCCCCGCUGGAAGGACCAACACCAGGUCCAGGACCAGGACCGAUGGCCACGAGGCCUGCCUCCGGCAAAGUGGUUUGUAUAAUGUGUGUGUGUGUGUGUGUAUAUGAUGUGUGUGUUUAUGUGUGCCUGUCUGCUGAACAUUCACACCCGCUAACUGUGUGUGUCUGCUGCGUGUGUGUUUCAGCUGCUUCCCCUCAGCUGGAGGAAGACGCUGCCUGAGGAGCAGCAGGAGUGGGUGGGCCGGGCGCUGUUCCGCAGGGACCCCAGCAGCGGGAAGGCUGUGCUCACCACACCGCCCCGACUGUGGUGGUACCCACCAGGCGCCCGGCUCCUCUACACGCAGCCCCCCGCCACAGCCCACGCCUUCUUCCAGCGCCCCUUCUUCCUCUGGCUUCCGUAUCGGAUGUGGGCGUACCACCUCAAGUGCCCCGCCGAUGGGGGUAAGCUGAUGGGCGCUGGCCUAUACAAGACCGUGCGGAGGGUCUUGGACAGGAGCGGGUGGUAUUACAUGGCCACAGAGUGCCUUCAGUGCCCCUCCUGCGGCAAGAAGGUGGCGGGCUGGUCCCAGGACAUCCUGGAGCACCUGGACGUUGCUCACCGCGAGGAAUUCCCGGCCGUUCUGACCUACAAGUAUGUCACUUUUAGUCAUUCUGCGUUUACCCAGCGUUCUGUCGCUCGUGGUUAACUACGGUUAACUGUCUGUGUUCUCUGUUUCCAGGUUGUCCUGCGACAGAGCGGUGAUAGCGAUGCUCAAGGAGCGCACCUUUGGCACCGGCGUGUCUCGCCUCCGUGCCUCCCUGGUGGAGCAGCACUCCAGGGACUGGAUGCAGCACUCCAUCGCCUACCUGUCGGUGCUCCGCAAGCUGAGAGGACCCGGAGCGGCCCAGAAGGACGCCGUGUCCCUGCCGACCUUCGUCAAGGUGCCCGGGCUCACCUGGUUUGGUCGGGUGUACGUGCUGGAGGCCGUGACCAGGCUGGACGAGACCAAGGCCAGGGUGACGUCGAUCUUCGGCGACAUCCUAAAGAUGGACUCCACCAAGAAGGUGAGGUUUCUCUCUCCGUGUGCCGUCGCCUCGUAUGACGUCUG
ensembl:lncRNA